UACAGAGGUCUCAAGCGUUGUUCGGAUUCAUUGGGCGUAAAGGGUGCGUAGGCGGUUCGCUGUGUCCGAUGUGAAAGCCCCGGGCUUAACCUGGGAAUGGCAUUGGAAACUGGCGGGCUUGAGUGCGGCAGAGGGGGGUGGAAUUCCGCGUGUAGCAGUGAAAUGCGUAGAGAUGCGGAGGAACACCGAUGGCGAAGGCAGCCCCCUGGGUCGACACUGACGCUCAGGCACGAAAGCGUGGGGAGCAAACAGG
rnacentral:rRNA from 1 species